rnacentral:rRNA from 1 species
CUGCCAGUAAUCAUAUGCUUGUCUA